UUUCCUGUCUCCUCUACUCCAUGUAAUCCCUACGGAUUAUAUCUUAUUUCUGAAAAAUAAUGUCUUUACUAUACAGCUUCAACUUGGCAUGUUGGAACUUGGAUAGUUUUAUCUGUGAAAAUUAUCUGCGUUAAUAUUCUAAUAAUUGACUCUUCAGCAAUCGAGCUUCAUACGUCACAGUGUUUCUGCCUGGAUGCAAUUUCUCUUCUUCCAAUGGCUGUUCAACCAAACCUGGCUCACCCAAUAACAAGAUUGACGAUACAAAGAUGGAAGAUCUUCUUUUCCGGGUCAUCAUAAGCAACUUGUUCCUGGAUAAAUUCGAUUAAAAAAUGCAAUGGACUUGUUCUUGAGUUGGUAUUCAAUGGCAGCCUUGAGAUUAAACGCUUCGACUAACGCAGUCUCGUGAAGAACCUGUGAGAAACAAAGAAACGCCGUGGCUCUGAUCAGGAAAAUUGUCUGGUUUUACACAAGAGUAAGAAGUCGCCAAUAAAAGAGUAUCAGUUUAUUUUUACCUUGGUGUUUCCAACGCUUCGCACUUCGAUUCCUUCCGUGGUCAUUCCAACGCUCAAUUCUAACGAGGGAGAAUAAAGUAAGAAGUUCUAUGCAUGAUAGAGUAUAGUUCCAUCGCGAAGGCCGUUUCUUACACGAUGCAAUGCAAUUAUGGACGGAAACUCAUCUUUGACUGGAAAGGGAUGGAUAAAUUUAUACGUAUGAUGGGUUGGGCAAUGCUAAAAAGCUUAUCGUAAUUAUUACAAUAGUCAAUAAUCAUUUUGUUUAUUAUCUCCUAGCCGGCUUGUUCCGUCCAUGACCGUGUUGAUAUUUCAAAAACUCGUCUGAUUUAUCCGUCUAAAUGCGAAUUUAAGACGAGUUUCUUGUCCAGACGGGAUUCCCGUUCAAUUUACUCGUUAGACGGGAGAAUUCGGACGAGAAACCCGUCCGUGAUCGGAUUCACAUCAGACGAGGUUCCAUUUUCGAUGAGUUUCCCGUCUAAGAUGAGUUUUUCGUCUCUAAUAUGAAUUUGGUUAUUGAGUAUUGAUAUCAGGUCCUUGUACAUA